rnacentral:rRNA from 1 species
UACGAAGGGGGCUAGCGUUGUUCGGAUUUACUGGGCGUAAAGCGCACGUAGGCGGAUCGUUAAGUCGGGGGUGAAAUCCUGGAGCUCAACUCCAGAACUGCCUUCGAUACUGGCGAUCUUGAGUCCGGAAGAGGUGAGUGGAACUCCUAGUGUAGAGGUGGAAUUCGUAGAUAUCGGGAGGAACACCAGUGGCGAAGGCGGUUGCCUGGGGCUUUGCUGACGCUGAUGCGCGAAAGCGUGGGGAGCGAUCCGG